UGGCUAAAAGAAAUUGGCAACUCUUGCUCGAAGCGAAGCCGACGAGGGGCAAAUGCGCAUCGACGCUCGACGAUCCUGGAAAAACGUCUGUCGCUAUACCGGGAGCGCUCUCCUCCUCAUCUUACUCACCGAGGUGCCUCUCACAGUCUGCAGACGCGGACACAGAUAAAGAGGCUGGGCAUCGCUCGUCGCGACCCCGAGGCUGAGCUUGCAAGCGCCCGAGCGACCCGGAGAUGCAAUCGCGAGGGAGGCGCACUUGGAACUGGCGCCAGCGCCACGAGGCUUCGGUUGACCGGAGACUAUCCUUGGCAAUGACUUCGCUGCCUCGGCUUCAAGACUAGAAUGGAGCGAGAGUUAGUAACGAGUGCCAAAAUACGUCCUUGUCACUCACCUGCCAACGCAACCAAACACGAGGCGAAUUUCGAGGAUGGAGGGGAAGCCAUUUAAUUUCGCGCAUUGCGAUUUUAAUAGCAAAGG